CUGCGAAUGGCUCAUUAAAUCAGUUAUCGUUUAUUUGAUAGUACCUUACUACUUGGAUAACCGUGGUAAUUCUAGAGCUAAUACAUGCUAAAAAUCCCGACCUCUGGAAGGGAUGUAUUUAUUAGAUAAAAAACCAAUGCCCCUCGGGGCUUCCUGGUGAUUCAUGAUAACUUUACGAAUCGCAUGGCCUUGCGCCGGCGAUGGUUCAUUCAAAUUUCUGCCCUAUCAACUUUCGAUGGUAGGAUAGUGGCCUACCAUGGUUUCAACGGGUAACGGGGAAUUAGGGUUCGAUUCCGGAGAGGGAGCCUGAGAAACGGCUACCACAUCCAAGGAAGGCAGCAGGCGCGCAAAUUACCCAAUCCCGACACGGGGAGGUAGUGACAAUAAAUACUGAUACAGGGUCCUUUCGGGUCUUGUAAUUGGAAUGAGUACAAUUUAAAUCCUUUAACGAGGAACAAUUGGAGGGCAAGUCUGGUGCCAGCAGCCGCGGUAAUUCCAGCUCCAAUAGCGUAUAUUAAAGUUGUUGCAGUUAAAAAGCUCGUAGUUGAACUUUGGGUUUGGGUGACCGGUCUGCGUCUACCGCAUGUACUGGAAACCCGGAUCUUUCCUUCUGGAGAACCCGCAUGCCCUUUACUGGGUGUGCAGGGGAACCAGGACUUUUACUUUGAAAAAAUUAGAGUGUUCAAAGCAGGCAUUUGCUCGAAUACAUUAGCAUGGAAUAAUAAAAUAGGACGUGCGGUUCUAUUUUGUUGGUUUCUAGGACCGCCGUAAUGAUUAAUAGGGAUAGUCGGGGGCAUCCGUAUUCGAUUGUCAGAGGUGAAAUUCUUGGAUUUUUCGAAGACGAACUACUGCGAAAGCAUUUGCCAAGGAUGUUUUCAUUAAUCAGGAACGAAAGUUGAGGGAUCGAAGACGAUCAGAUACCGUCGUAGUCUCAACCAUAAACUAUGCCGACUAGGGAUCGGGCGAUGUUUUCUAUUUGACUCGCUCG
rnacentral:rRNA from 1 species